rnacentral:rRNA from 1 species
AUUGAACGCUGGCGGCAGGCCUAACACAUGCAAGUCGAACGAGUGGCGGACGGGUGAGUAAUGUCUGGGAAACUGCCCGAUGGAGGGGGAUAACUACUGGAAACGGUCGCUAAUAACGCAUACCAUAGGAUGUGCCCAAAAGGGAUUAGCUAGGAGGUGGGGUAAAGGAUCACCUAGGCGACGGUCCCUAGCUGGUCUGAGAGGAUGACCAGCCACACUGGAACUGCGACACUGUCGAGCCUCCUACGGGAGGCAGCAGUGGUGUAUAUUGCACAAUGGGCGCAAGCCUGAUGCAGCCAUGCCGCGUGUAUGUAGAAGGCCUUCGGGUUGUAAAGUACUUUCAGCGAGGAGGCGUUACUCGCAGAAGAAGCACCGGCUAACUCCGUGCCAGCAGCCGCGGUAAUUC